CGGUCUGGUCACACUCAUUCAGCAACAGCAGCACCACCACCACCACCAGCAGCAGCGGACAGCCCUGAGGAGCAUGGGGCCUGCUGGGACUCGUCUCCUGCUAUGCUUCAGCUCCUGCCCAAUCACUUACCUGUGCCAGGAGAAGCCUCUGGACAUGCCUGGGCAGCCUCUGGACAUGCACUGCUCCCAUUCCUCGCUGAGAGGGCAUCUCCCCGAGUGCCUCUCCAUCCCAGUAGACUCUCCAGAUGUGCCCAGUCCUCAACUGGUGUGGCCUCACCAGAGAGACUCAGACCAAACAGGCCUCCACAGCCUCUCUCUAGACACUUUCUGGGAAACCACAGUGGAAUACAAAAGGGCACCAACUGUUCUGAUCUCUUGAAGAGCUCCUCAGGCAACCUUCUGUUUCUAGCAAGAUGAUACACCCAAGCCUUGAUGACAAGGCUUGGCUCUCAACCUCCUUGCUCCCCACCUCCUGUGAAAUACACAAAGAAAUUCAGUGAUCAUCGGGGAUGCUCUGGUCCAAACACUACCUGCCAGCCAGACGCAGGAGAUGGAUGGCUCAGCAGUAAUCGUGCUGCUUGAGCUUGGUGUCUAAUGGGGACAGUAGUGACAGGAAGUUCACAGGGACUGGAAGACAUGAGUUCUCUGAGGGAAAGGAAGGUGAAGCCUGGUGCUUAGGACCCUCAGGAGACCAUAGGAUGUGAGAAGGCUCAAGACACCCAGAGGUGGGGUCAGAAACAGGGCAAAGGAGACCAAGCAUGGGAGAGCUGCAGUGGACGUGUACAGACAGGAGAAGCAGGCCCUAAAGAAUCCCUGAGGCGGCAGAGAGGCUGGGCUGUGGAACUUUUUAAUUACUUUGCAUUAGGGGACUGUAGAGACCCAGAAGCCCACCCUUCCCCUCCCCUCAUCAGCUUAGCCCCAACAUAUGGUGGCUACCAAAGUAGUUAAAUCGGCUCUUGGUAGAAAAGGAAAGAGAUUCCUCCCAGGCUCUUCCCAGGGUCCACGGCCACACUCCAGGAGGGCUCAACUCCAGGGCAAGGCAGCUGGGACAGCAGGCAGCUGAAGGAGGACUAUUACUGCACCUUAGGGAAGAGUGCAGUGGCGAGUGGGGAGGACUCUGCUGGGACCCGGGGGUCAUGUGCAUUCCCAUUUAGUUGAGCUCUGCUUAAUCCGGGCCUAGGCUCACAGUAAUGGGGAACGAGGAGAGGCUCCCAUCAGAGACCAAGAAGAUGACAGACUCUCUGUAAAGGCUGUCAGAGGGGUCUGCAUGACCAACCACACCUGCUCCUGUUCCUUUGGGGCUCUUGUGACCUCCCUGUCUUCUUGUGAGAUCUUAUGUUCCUCCAACCCUGAGAGCUACAAACCAAUCUCCGGAAUAAAAAAAUCUGUCCCUCGUGCUGUCA
rnacentral:lncRNA from 1 species